rnacentral:hammerhead_ribozyme from 1 species
AUCCAGCUGACGAGUCCUAAAUAUGACGAAAUGUGCAUCAAGCUGGAU